AUGCUAGAAAAAUUUGAUGCCCUUCUGUAUGGUGUUGAUUUAACUGGCAAAAGCUUAAAAAGGGGCCUUGGUGGUCUCUCAAGCGAAAAAUCAGCUUGUGUGCAGCCGAUAUCUUUUCUUGAGAAGGAACUAGAUGGAGUAAGGUCCACAUGCCUUAAAUUGCUGAAGGAUCUUCAGCAUUCGCUUAAUUUACCUAUUGGAGUAGGCAAAAACUGGGUCCAGCGCUACUGUAUGCAUAAUGCUGUGCUUUUUUUCUGUACUACCUCUAGUUCUUACCGGUUGCAUCAUAUGGAGAUUGAACCCCUCGAUGUGUUAAUUGUCAAUGAGGCUACGCAAGUGCGAGAAUGUGAAUUGGUGGUCCCACUACGUCUGCAUCAGUUGAAGCAUGCUGGUUUGCUAGGAGAUGACUGCCAGCUGAGUGCAAUGGUUAAAAGCCAGAAGCUGGAUUCGGAAUAA
rnacentral:rRNA from 1 species